GAUGAACGCUGGCGGCGUGCCUAAUACAUGCAAGUCGAACGCUGGAGAUCUAGCUUGCUAGAUCGAAGGAGUGGCGAACGGGUGAGUAAUACAUAAGCAACCUACCCACGAAGACUGGGAUAAUCUCUGGAAACGGGGACUAAUACCGGAUAGGUAAUCGGAAGGCAUCUUCUGGUUAUUAAAGGUUAAAAACACUGGUGGAUGGGCUUAUGGCGCAUUAGUUAGUUGGUGAGGUAACGGCCCACCAAGACGAUGAUGCGUAGCCGGCCUGAGAGGGUGAACGGCCACAUUGGGACUGAGACACGGCCCAGACUCCUACGGGAGGCAGCAGUAGGGAAUUUUCGGCAAUGGGGGAAACCCUGACCGAGCAACGCCGCGUGAGUGAUGACGACCUUCGGGUUGUAAAGCUCUGUUGUAAGGGAAGAACGGUAGAUAGAGAAUAUCUAAGUGACGGUACCUUACCAGAAAGCCACGGCUAACUACGUGCCAGCAGCCGCGGUAAUACGUAGGUGGCGAGCGUUAUCCGGAAUUAUUGGGCGUAAAGGGUGCGUAGGCGGCCUGUUAAGUAAGUGGUUAAAUUGUUGGGCUCAACCCAAUCCAGCCACUUAAACUGGCAGGCUAGAGUAUUGGAGAGGCAAGUGGAAUUCCAUGUGUAGCGGUAAAAUGCGUAGAUAUAUGGAGGAACACCAGUGGCGAAGGCGGCUUGCUAGCCAAAGACUGACGCUCAUGCACGAAAGCGUGGGGAGCAAAUAGG
rnacentral:rRNA from 1 species